UUGGGGUGUCUGUGGCAGGCGUUUGAGGUGUGGCUGGGAUUGGGAGUGGGUGGGCCCUGGCUUGGGCCCUGGUGGGUGAUCCCUCUGAUAGCUGUUGGCUUUCUCCGGCGGAACCCGGCUGGCUGCUGCCCCUUGGGCCAAGGUCAGUCACAAGGGGGGGCCGCCCCAGCUGCCCACUCCUCCUGACCCUGCAGCAGUCCUGAAGGGAGGGUCUCACCUGGGAGGUGAGGAAGAGCAACCCAGCAUGGGAGGCUGGGUCCAGGUGGGGGCAGCAGACUUGGGCCAAUGGCCCCUCUCCUCAGUGGCCGCAGUGACCUCACACAUGCCACUAAGAGACAGGACUGAGACAGGGUCGGUGCUGCUGCCGAAACAUUCAGCACCCAAGGUCAGUGGGGCUGCUGGGCAGGCGUGCCCAAGACUCUUGUCGAGGUGGGGUGAAGGGGCCCAGCAGAGAGGAAGUCGUGCCGGCAGCCCAGGUCAACCCUGACGCACUCUGGCCUCAGUGUCGUAUCUGUGAAGUGGCAGUGAAGCCCUCCUGACCACUCUUGGGAGGGUUUGAAAGCUCACCCAGCUCACCUGUUAGGGGUGUCGCUCCUGCCCCAUCGUCCAGCCAGACUGGUCGGGGGGGGCGCUCCCAUGUGGACAAGCCCCCCUGCCCCGCCCACGCCAACAUCCGUCCACCGGGCUUCAGAUUGAGGCCUGCCCCAGCUCGGCAUCGCCCUCCACCUUCCCAAAGUCACCCAGCACCCUGCACCCCUCACACCCACCCCCGUCCUCAACUGAGCUCUGCUUGGACGGCCAGUGAGGGCAUCGAGGGUGGGGCACCUGCAAGGGGCGAAAGGGGGAACUUCUUAGGGCCACAGGCUCUGAGGACAGGUAGCCUCUGUCCUGAGGCUGCUGCCACACCCUCUGGCACCCUGUGACGCCCUCGGGAGCUCUCCUCUCCCCCACCCAUAGAUGAAAUGGGCCUGGCCUGGAGGAGGCAGGACUCAAGUGCAGACCUGAGCUUAGAUGUGGGAGUGCACAGGCAGAGGCAGGGCAUGGGGAGUGGGCAGGAGGCCACUGGCCUGGCCAGGUGUGGAUGACACGGCUGUGGAGACUGGGGGUGCAGCGGAGCAGCGCCCACCCCGACCCCACCAGGCUGAGAGGCUCCUGGGACUCCCGCCAGCUCUCCUCCAGGCCUCUGUGCCUUUGCACGUGCUAUGCCCUCUUCCCUGGGGAGGCCAGUGAGCCUGUGCUGUGGCUUUGUUACCUGGAUCGUGGCUCCUCCCCAGGAUCCUGUCAAAACACUGGUGUCCAAAUGUCCUGCCUCCCCCUGCCCACAUCUAUAGAUGUGGAGCCUCGGCUCCAGGGGAGGCCCCACCAGGAGAAGACAAGGUGCCUGGUGGUGGGGCCCCCUCUCACCCCCCAUAGGCGAGAGAGGUAUUCGUUCUCUAUUGCUACACAAGAAAUCACCCCCCAAACUUAGCCACUUAAAAGAGUAAGCAUUUAUUACUCGCCCUGUGUCUCCGGGUCAGGAAUCUGGGGGCACCUGGGCUGGGUGGUCAAGGUUUCAGGAGGACCCGCUUCCAGGAUGUGGCUGUUGGCAGGGGAUCUCAGGUCCUCUGCAGAUAGGCCUCUUGGGAGGGCUGCGGAGUGUCUUACACCAUGGCAGCUGGCCUCCCCUGAGUGAGUGGUCCAAGACAGCCAGGGGGCUUUGCGGACCCAGUCCUGGAAAUCCAGCAUCAUCCCUCCUGCAGCUUCCACUGUUAAAGUCACUCUGUCCGGCCCACACUCAAAAGGUGGGGAAUUGGGCUCCACUUUUUGAAGGAAGAUUAAAGAAUUUAGAGGCCCCAGAGGACACCAACCCUUGACCCUGGAAGGAAAGGGUGGGGGACAAGUGUCGAGCCAGACCAGAAUUGCUGUCAGGGCUACGACCACUGAUCCCCUGGGGAGGGGGCUGCUACUCCUCCCUCCCCACCCCUAGCCCAGAAGUCUCCAGGCAGGGCCCUUUCCAGGUAGGUCUCAGCGGGGUGAGUGGACUUGAUAUUUGGACCUGAGGGCUAUGCGGACUGCCCCAACCCCGCCACGCACCCCUCCAGCUGCUCAGCCCUGAUGUUGGGGUACAGGACGCAGCUACAAGUCUGCCCCUUCACCUCUUCUCCUGGGCCCUGGGGGUUCAGAUGUGACGGUUCUCCUACCCUCGGCCACUGAGAACAGCCUGAAGGAUGAAGGACGCUGCAGUCAUCCUCGUUUUACCUAGCCAGUCAUGUUUCUGAAGGCGAUGACUGCAGGUAAGGUUUCCGACAGACUCUGAGGUGGAAAGCAGUGUGCAAAGUCAAAUCAAAGUAGGUCACGUGUUUGCUCUUAGAAAUACACACAUGCCGCGGGAGAGGUACACGCCCCAAGCGGGAUCAGGUAAGGUUACAUUCAAUUUCUCCUUUACACUUUUCUAGAAUUUCUCAGUUUUCCCGCAGGGAAUAUCUAUUAGUUGACUUUUUUUUUUUUUUUUCAAUUGAGGUGAUAUUCACAUAACAUGCAACGGAUAUGUAAAAUGUACAACUCAGUGGCAUUUAGUUUAUUCAUAAUAUUGUACAAACACCAGCUCUCUCUAGUUUCAAAACUUUUUCAUCACCCCAUUAAAACCCCAUAAAAAUACCACCCUGUACUCAGUAAGUCAUCAUUCCCCAUUUCUUCCUCCCCCAUCCUCUGGGAACUGCUAACCUGCAUUGUGUCUCUGUGAAUUUGCCUGUUCCGGGUACAUCACAUAAAAAGCAUCACAUGGUAUGUGGCCUUUGUGUCUGGCUGCUUUCACACAGCGCAGUGUUUUCAAGGUCCAUCUAUGUUGUUGUCUUUAUAAUUUCAUUCCCUUUUAUGACUGAAUAAUAUCCCACAUUUGGUUGUCCAUUGAUCUGUCAAUGGACAUUUGGGUCAUUUUUACCUCUUAGAGAUUGUGAGUAAUGCCGCUAUGAACAUUCCUAUAAGGUCUCUCUGUGGACAUAGUUUUCAUUUCUCUAGGUCAUAUACCAAGGAGUGGAAUUGCUGGAUCAUGAUAAUUCUAUGUUUAACUAUUUAAGGAACUGCCACACUGUUUUCUGUUUUCCACCUGCACCAUUUUACAUUCCCACCAGCAAUGUAUAAGAGUUCCUGUUUAUCCACAUCCUUGCCAACACUUGUUAGUUUCUGUUUUUUAAAAAUCAAAGUCAUCCUCAUAGGUGUGAAGUGAUAUCUAAGUGGUAUCAUACUGUCAUUUUGAUUUGUAUUUCCCUUAUGACUAAUGACAAUGAGCAUCUUUUCUUGAGUUUAUUAGCCAUUUGUAUAUCUUCUUUAGAGAAAUAUCUGUUCAAGUCCUGUACCGUUUUUUCAAGUGGAUUCUAUUUUUUUGGUUGAGUUUUUUUGUUUGUUUGUUUGUUUUUAGCUGUGCGGGGUCUUAGCUGCAGCAUGCGGGCUCUUAGUUGCGGCAUGCGGGCUCCUAGUUGUGGCAUGUGGGAUCUAGUUCCCUGACCAGGGAUUGAACCCUGGCCCCCUGCAGUGGGAGCUUGGAGUCUUAGCCACUGGACCACCAGGAAAGUCCCUUGGUUGAGUUUUAAGAGUUCUUUAUGUGUUCUGGAGGCUAAUCAGAUAUAUGCUUCUCCUAUUUCCCAGGUUGUCUUUCCACUCUCUUACAUUGUCCUUUGAUACAGAAAAGUUUUAUAUUUGUUUCUUUGGUUGCUGUGCUUUUGGUGUCAUAUCUCAUAAUCCAUUGCCAUGAAGAUGUACCCCUAUGUUUUCUUCCAAGAAUUUUAUGGUUUUAGCUCUUACGUGUAGGCUGUUUUUUUGUUUUUGUUUUUUUUUGCAGUACGCGGGCCUCUCACUAUUGUGGCCUCUCCCGUUGCGGAGCACAGGCUCUGGACGCGCAGGCUCAGCAGCCAUGGCUCACGGGCCCAGCCGCUCCACAGCAUGUGGGAUCUUCCCGGACCAGGGCACGAACCUGCGUCCCCUGCAUCGGCAGGCAGACUCUCAACCACUGCGCCACCAGGGAAGCCCGGCUGCUGAGUGGCUUUUUGAGUGGAUUUUUGUGUAUGGUGUGAGGCGGGGAUCAGACUUCAUUCUUCUGCACGUGAAGAUCCAGUUGUCCCAGCACCACUUGCUGAUCUAUUACUUUCAUAAUUACAAAACUAGGUAAAAUAUAA